CGCACCGGGCCGGGGGUCCUGGCCGGGAGCAGCCGGGGUGGGCAGACCCCGCCGGGGGACCUGAGGUCAGAUGUCGACGGUGAUCGCACACGGCCGGGGCUCUCCGUGAACCGACUCUUCGGGUUGUCGCGAAACUGGGCGGAGCAAAGAGGAACGCGGAAGCCCAGGGUUGGAGGCCUGGUGGACAGGAGGGCUCGGAGGAGGAUUUGAAAGUCAGAAGCUUCCGGAGGCGUUUGUGCUCCUGCUCCUGGCGAGAGCUCUGCCAUCAAAACGCCAACGGCGCCUGCUGCUGAGAAACAACACCACGGUAUUCUCAGGACUCUGGGCGACCCGGACCAGGCCGAGGUGUGCACGUCAAAUGCCUUCGGGGGGCCAGAGGGGUCCUGAAAGAAACAACACGGGCUGGGUGACAAUAGGGAGCAGUGGGGUCUGUGGGGAAACAGGGGUGCCCUCCCCACCCGAAGACCGACUAGUUCAAGUCGGUAACAAUUCAGUGCUUGUCCACUGCAGGGGACCAGGGACCCUUGGAGGAGAGGUGGUUCCAGGGCGGGGCAGGAAACAGGUGAGCCGAGAACAUCUUACUGCCCCGGAGAGAGAGAGCGUGCCCAAAGGAGGAUGGGGACGUGUCAGUGGAGCCAGCCCGCCCACACCUGGAGCAGUAAGAACAUCAGAAUAAAGACAGCAGAGGACGACAGCACGUGGAAUAAAAUGCGACUCUUUGAGUCCGUACUUACAGAAACAAGAAAAUUAGCAAGCGUGUGCGGGAGACGAGAAACGUCUUUGGAAGAAAGUUGCUCCCUCCCAGCUGUGCCUCGGCCAACUCACACACGUAGGAGUGACGGCGUCCACCAGCGAGUGACAGGAUAUGCACAGUCCCAAAGCUUGUCCCCGCAAACUGUUUGUUAUUUACAGAGGGGGAAAUAGUGACUUCGCAGCGGAGAAACCUGCAGACACAAGUUCAAUCACGUGAUCGAAACCGCCAUCCUCAAAACUGGAACAAGCCAACGUCACGGGUCUCCUGACACGAGGCCCCGAGGAGGACACAAUCUCACUUCUGUGCUAUUAAUGAAAUAGUAAUGUCCCCUCUUCCUGAGGGACGAAAUAACUGGCUCAUACGCUUUGAAAUGUCAGCAUCAUGGACGACAAAAAGGGCGGGAGGGUCAGAGAACCGCUCAGAGUGAAGGGGACCGCCGAGUUCUGACAGCUGCACGCAGCGCGGGACCCGAUGUGACUUCAGACUGGGGAAGGGACAGACACGAUAAAGGACGUUGUUGGGACGGUUGGAGACGUUUGAUGAGAUUGUGAACCAGAGCUAGAAUGGACGAGGCGACAGAAUUGCAGCGAGGUUGUUUCUGGAGUUUGCUCGUUACUCUGGGUGUGUAAGAGAAAGUCCUUGCUCCCAGGAGCUGCUCCCUGAAGUAUCUAUGGGGACAGCGUCUGCUGGCCGCGGUCACUCUGGGAUGGCUCGGAGAAGACGCACACACAGCAAAGUCUAAACCACGGUGCGUCUAUGUAAAGAAUGCAGACUCCAUGUGCAACUUUUUGGUGAGUGUGAAAUUAUAUCAAAAUUAAAAGCUGCUAGAAAAAGUUCAGUGUUGACCAAACCAAACAAGGCUUUGGGCCAGCUGAGCCAGGGGCUGCGGGUCCAGGCUUCAACGUCUGCUCUAUACCGGAAGCUGCGUGUCCUUUCCUCCCACCCAAGUCACUGGCACCUGGAACAGCUGGGUGCUCGCAGCUGGUCCUGCUCCUGUCACUUCCAGAGGGGAGGAAGGUGAUGACACGGCUCAGUGAGUUUCUGUCGGGUCCCUCUGGCCCACACCCAUUCUCCCAUCGCCACGGAGCCAUGACAUGAGGCUCCUGCUCGGGGAAGAGGGGAGCAGAUACAGAGGGCUCCACGCUCAGCUUCAACCAUCAAAAUGAUGUUUUUUGAGGGUCUUUUUUUAAGUCCUUGAUGAGACAGUGGUCUCAAAAGCCAGGCGUUCCCAGAAUUCCCAGAGCUGGUCUCAUGAGAGCCAGACACGGACAACUGACCUCGCAGGGGUCAGCAAGGGGACAGGGGCACGGCAGAGAGAGGACAGUCCUGCGGCAGCCUCCCAGUGCAGAGACAGGGGUGAGGGAAACAAACAAAAGAAAACGUGCACCCAAACGACGACAGAAAACCUGCCACAGGAUGGCGUGAAGCCUGUCGCCCUUUUGUCCAAGAAGCCCUGCUGGGUUUUGGAUUCCGGGCCAGUUCGUGGGGCAAGAACAGGGCCUGGUCCCAUGGAAAUUUCCGAGUGGGGUUUUUUUUUUUUUUGAAGCAAGGUUUGGCAGACGUGACCCAGUCUCCCUGGCGAGACAGGGCCUCUUUGAAAAGAGUCAAAAACAGCAGAAAGAUGGGAAAUGGUCCUCGAAUGAACCAGAUUUCAGUGCAAUCCUCUUCCAGAAAGAACUGCCAGGGCCCAGCCCGGGCAUCCCUUGCGUUGUGGGAUUCAACUCAAGCCCCCUGCGCCCGGUGAGCUGGGCGAUGCUCAGCUGUCCUCACCCUAAGUCCCCGCACCUGUGUGCAGGUUGCCUGACUUGGCACGAGGCUCUGCAGGUGGGACGGAGGCGAAGGGCCUGUGGUAGCUGGGGUCACCCAGGUGGGCCUCAUCCAAUCACACGUGCCUUUAAGUCAGAGAACCUUGCCCAGCUGUUGUCAGGGGAGCCGUGAUUUUGGAAGUAGCAUCAGGACACAGCAUAGCUGGCUUUGAAGGUGGAGGGAGCAAUGUCUAGACGCGGGAAAGGCCAGGGAACUUCCAGAAGGCACUGCCCUGUUGACACCUGACUUCAGCCCAGUGAGACCCGUGUUGGAUUUCCGACCUCCAGACCCGCACAUAGUAAACCUGGUCGAGCAAGCUGCUGAGCAUGUGGACUUUUGUCACGGCAGCAGAGGAAACCCUGUCACCGGAGCACCUCCAAUGUGCCUGUUCCUGGGAUGUCACUCCUGUGAGGCUGGGCCUGUGAUCCCCUUUUACAGAUGAGAACACUGAGGCUCUGGGAGAUGAACUGACACCCCUCGCGGGCCUGAGUGGGACGGGAACACCCCUGGCCGACUGCAAACCGCCUGCGCUUCUGGUGGCUCACAGGGCCCCCGCCAAGCCACGCCGAGGGUGACGGGCGUGAAUCCGCGGAGGCAGCACUUGGUCCUCACGGAGCUCUGUGCCUCUGGGUGCUCAGCACGCGCUUCCGGGAAUGACAGACAAAACCACAGCUCACCAGUCCACUGCCCUCGGACGCAGGAAAUGAACUGAAAUCCACAGAGAAUCAGAGCGUGGACUGAAGACAGAGCUAUGUACAUCUAGAAUCAGAGGAAAUUGGAAAAAAAUGAUGGAAGGAAUAAGUUGCAGUAGUCGAUAUUUGCCUACCCGAGACCAUAUCGGACCAAGUUAAAUAACUUUAUAGAAGUAUAUACAAUAGAGAUAUAAGCUCUAACAUACUUUAGGAAGAUCCUUUUAACAAUGGCGACUGAAGGCAUCUGACAGAGAAAUAAACCACAGUGAACACCUAAAGUAACACCAGCAACACGUGUUAAUCUAUUGGGACUCCUUCCUACCGGUGACACCACAGUACUGUAAUUUGAAUCCUGGAGAAACAGGUGGAAAGAAACUGGUCUGGUGUUAGAAAUUCUUUAUCUAGAACCUUACCUGGAGCAGGGAAAUUUAUUCUAAGUCAAUAUAAGUCACUACAAAAAUAUUUCUACUUACAGUGAAGAGCACAAAAAAUCUCUGAUUCUUUUCUCCUACACAGUUGUUCACCCACGGGCAGUGGUGAUCCAUCUUCCGAAUACAUCUCUUGCAAAUACUGAAAAGGAGAGUUUGAUUUUCAGUGUUCCGUGGUGAGGAAACCAGAGUAACAACCAAACACAACCAAGGUGGAGGAAAAUCAGAAUGAAUAUUCUGUAAUAAUACACCAUGUUGGCCGGGCGCGGUGGCUCACGCCUGUAAUCCUAGCACUCCGGGAGGCCGAGGCGGGUGGAU